rnacentral:rRNA from 1 species
UAACGCGUGGGAAUCUGCCUAUCAGUGGGGAAUAACGACGGGAAACUGUCGCUAAUACCGCAUACGCCCUUAGGGGGAAAGAUUUAUCGCUGAUAGAUGAGCCCGCGUACGAUUAGCUAGUUGGUGAGGUAAUGGCUCACCAAGGCUACGAUCGUUAGCUGGUCUGAGAGGAUGAUCAGCCACACUGGGACUGAGACACGGCCCAGACUCCUACGGGAGGCAGCAGUGGGGAAUAUUGGACAAUGGGCGAAAGCCUGAUCCAGCAAUGCCGCGUGAGUGAUGAAGGCCUUAGGGUUGU